rnacentral:rRNA from 1 species
GGACUACCGGGGUAUCUAAUCCUGUUUGCUCCCCACGCUUUCGUGUCUCAGCGUCAGUAGUGGUCCAGAAAGCCGUCUACACCACCGGUGUUCCUCCUGAUAUCUACGCAUUUCACCGCUACACCAGGAAUUCCGCUUUCCUCUCCCACACUCCAGCCCUCCAGUUUCCGGCGCACCCUCCCAGUUAAGCCGGGAGAUUUCACACCGAACUUAGAGAACCGCCUACACACUCUUUACGCCCAGUAACUCCGAACAACGCUUGCUGCCUACGUAUUACCGCGGCUGCUGGCAC